rnacentral:lncRNA from 1 species
AUCUCUAAUGUGGCACACUCAAGAGCUGAGAAGAAACUGAGCAAACGCUCCCAGUGUUGAAUCAGAGCCUCUGGGAAUUCUAGAACUUGAGAAACAAUCUAUGUGUCCUCACAAUGGGUUGUACCUCUUACAUCCUGUUCAGGCAGGCUGGCCCUGCAACCCAUGGCAAUGCCACUAGUGAAGAGCAUUUUCUGUGUGUAGAAUAGUGUGUUAGGGGUAGCUUCAAAAACAAACAAAAAAUGUUACCAGAACACACAUGUUCUUUUAGUGAAAGUUUAAAAGAUAGCACUUCUUUGCAGAGGGUCAACAGUGAAGUGUGGUGACCUGGUUACUUUCUGUUUGACUAAGUGUUUCAUGGCUCUGGUUUGCACUCUGGAAGACUAAUCUUUGCUGAGAUUAGCUGAGUACUGAGUGGUUUUGGCUUCAAACUGAGGCUUCGUGGAGACUGCAACAUAGUCUGUGACCUCAAUGGUAAGCCCAGAGCCUUGAGCUUGCUAAACAACUGCUCUACCCACCGAACCUCAAGAUCCUCAACUCUACAGUGUGACACAUGAAAAGAGUGAGAGCAAAUGGAUGGAGUAUGUAGAAGGUAUGGAAAAAGUGUCCUGAGAAAAAGUAAAAAGAAGAGAGAGGAAAAGAGAUCAACAAAUGGUCAGAAUUCAAAAUACCUUUCAGAGGUCUAAAAGUAAACAACAACAACAAAAAAAGAAUGUCAAAAUUUAGCUGCUUUUAAAGUAAAGUAGCAAAAUAAAUACCUAAAAACAAAUACUUUAAGCGCA